UCUUUCUUUCUUUUUUUUUAUUUUUUUUUUUGUUGGUAUCACACAAUGCGAUGCGGAAAAAGAUGAGGCUAAAUCGCGCGCCGCUCGCUUGAUUGAAAACACACAGAGAGUACCAACAACGAAUGCAAAGGCUAUUGAAUUGAAUUGCCGUCUCUGGUCAGUGUUGCCCAAAACGGCAAACGGCUUAUUUUCGGCCAGAUCUGGCUUAUUUUCAAGAGCGAUUGCGGAUAAAAUUGGGAAAUUGCGGAUAGCGGAAAAUCUGGCUUAUUUAAGAAUCGCAAGAUAAGAAUUUGCAAGAUAUGCAAAAAGUUAACAAAUGCUUCCAAAGCAAUACUUCAAAUCCAUCGAAAUUGUUAAACGAGCUAAUAUUUGCCAUCAAUUCACUAAAAAUCUACAUAAUAGCUCCAGAUAAAAGUGUAGAUUGUAUAAACGAUGAUGGAUUUGAAAAGUAUGUGACUAGAGACUUGUAUCUUGGAUAUGCUUUUGAAAAACAUAUCAAAUCUGUGAGUAUAUCCAAUGAUGAGGAAAAGUCGAUCCGAGAAAGUUGCACGAAUUUCGUAGUUGAUCUUGUUAAGCAACUAAAGCAGAGGUUACCCGACAAUUUUAAAAUCUUAAAACAAGCCGAUGCUUUUGCAGUAGAAAAUAUUUUAAAAACUAAAAAAAAAAACAUCAUUCCGAUUUUGGAGUUUUUUGGAAUUCCCAAUAUUGACGAAAUUGAACGUCAAUACAAUGAAUUGACACUUAUCUCUUGGGAAAAUACUGAGGACACAAUUAAAUUUUGGGUUGAAGUAUUGAAUUACAGAGACUCGGGCGGAAACAACCGGUUUUCUAAGCUGAGUUCUGUUGCGCUUGAAAUACAUUCUUUACCUUGGUCGAACGCCGAAGUGGAAAGGGUUUUUAGCCAAGUUAAUUUAAUAAAAAAUAAAAUAAGAAAUAGGAUGAACGUUGACACGUUAAAUUCAAUAUUAACCAUAAGAUCCGGAUUGAGCCGACACAACAAAUGUUGCUUUGAUUACAAAGUUUCUUCAAUCUGCCUGAAGUCUAUAGAAAAUGUGGAACAAUUAGAUAAUGAGCCCGAACAGUCUGUAGACAAUCUAAUAGCAGGUUUAAUGUCAUUUAAAUGAACUUUAUAAGUUUAAAUUUCUUUUGUUUUC